rnacentral:rRNA from 1 species
UACGUAGGGCGCAAGCGUUAUCCGGAAUUAUUGGGCGUAAAGAGCUCGUAGGCGGUUUGUCGCGUCUGCUGUGAAAACCCGAGGCUCAACCUCGGGCCUGCAGUGGGUACGGGCAGACUAGAGUGCGGUAGGGGAGAAUGGAAUUCCUGGUGUAGCGGUGGAAUGCGCAGAUAUCAGGAGGAACACCGAUGGCGAAGGCAGUUCUCUGGGCCGUAACUGACGCUGAGGAGCGAAAGCGUGGGGAGCGAACAGG